rnacentral:lncRNA from 1 species
GGACUAACAGAAAUGAUUCUUCCAGCAAGAACACCUGCACCUUCAUUACUCUUCUCCUUACACAGCCUGGGGAAAGGAGUCCCAGGGAGAGAAAACAACAGCAAUAAAAACAUCAUGACAUCUCUUGCUGGGAGCCUUCCAAGAUCUCCAGGAAGCAAAUGAGCAAGAAGGCUGGGCAUGGCCAGGCUGGACCUAUCUCCCCACGCUUCCAGGGAAGGAGGGAAAGGGAAGAAGCAUGGAGGAGAAUUGCUGCAGGGGUGGGAGGGAUUGUGCCCCUUGCACUCAAGUGCAGAAUCCAGUCCCUGAACAGGCUAUAAAGCAGCUCAUCACUGCAAAAGAGUCUCUUAUCUCUAUUUCCCUUCCACUACAACAUAGCAGCAAUGUAGAGGCUGCAGAGAACACAUGGACAUGAGAGCUCCUUCUUGCUUUGGGAGAGGAAAGCUCCUUUCCAAACCAGCAGAGGUGAGAGGUGCAAUGGUCAAGGAGAACACAGUGCUUUGGCACUUGG